rnacentral:rRNA from 1 species
UACGUAGGGGGCUAGCGUUGUCCGGAAUCAUUGGGCGUAAAGAGCGUGUAGGCGGCUCGGUAAGUCCGCUGUGAAAGUCCAGGGCUCAACCCUGGAAUGCCAGUGGAAACUGUCGAGCUAGAGUCCGGAAGAGGCGAGUGGAAUUCCUGGUGUAGCGGUGAAAUGCGCAGAUAUCAGGAGGAAUACCGAUGGCGAAGGCAGGUCUCUGGGCUGACACUGACGCUCAUGCACGAAAGCGUGGGGAGCAAACAGG